rnacentral:rRNA from 1 species
GACGAACGCUGGCGGCGUGCCUAACACAUGCAAGUCGAACGAGGUCCAUCCUUCGGGAGAAGACCUAGUGGCGAACGGGUGAGUAACACGUGAAGAACCUGCCCCGAAGACCGGGAUAACCCUCCGAAAGGAGAGCUAAUACCGGAUACCCCCACCGAACCGCAUGGUUUGGUGAGGAAAUGGAUUCCGCUUCGGGAGGGCUUCGCGGCCUAUCAGCUAGUUGGUGGGGUAACGGCCCACAAGGCAUCGACGGGUAGCUGGUCUGAGAGGACGAUCAGCCACACUGGGACUGAGACACGGCCCAGACUCCUACGGGAGGCAGCAGUGGGGAAUCUUGCGCAAUGGGCGAAAGCCUGACGCAGCAACGCCGCGUGGGGGAUGAAGGCUCUCGGGUUGUAAACCCCUUUCCAGCAGGGACGAAUCAAGACGGUACCUGCAGAAGAAGCCCCGGCUAACUACGUGCCAGCAGCCGCGGU